UACGUACUCCCCCCGUUCGGAAUUACUUGUCUCGAAAAUGGAUGUAUCUAGAACUAAAAUACGUCUAGAUACAUCCAUUUCUGCGACAAGUAAUUCCGAACGGAGGGAGUAUGUG
rfam:Triticum aestivum genome assembly, contig: Triticum_aestivum_CS42_TGACv1_scaffold_320614_4BL